rnacentral:lncRNA from 1 species
CUGUGCGCCUGGGUGACUCCGACCACCGGUGAGUUCUUGCUUCCUGAAUCCUGAUGGAUUGCUUAUCUAAUCAUUUAUGCAGUAUGCUUGCAAUUUGUGCUUGUUCAGAACUGUCAGCUACUUAUAAACACUAGAAUUUUCAGUGUCCAAUCAUGUGUUGAAAUUUCUGUCAUCUUAUAUAUUUUAGCAUGAUUAGUCACUCACCUAUUUCCUCUGAUUUAGUUGGAGAUGCUGCUGCUAUUUGUUCAGAUUGGGGGAGGCUAGAGAGGCUUGCUUGAUGUUGUGUUUGCUACGUCAGAGAGCAGUGAGAACUGAGAUUUGGGUGGGGUGGGGGUGGAGGUAGCAGGGAGAGGAUGUUUACUCGAUGGAAGAUGACAGGGUAUGUUGCUUGCUACUGCUACUGUGUGUGUUAUUGUGUUGUUUUGUAGUAUUUCUGAACUGUUAGAGAUAUUGUCGCAGUGAGAUUUUGUUCCCAAUAUGGAUAUAUGGUCUUUUCCAGUGCAUGGCAAAACUAACUAAUGAUUGGGUGGUAACCUCAUGAUUGGGUGGUGCAUGCAGGGCACGCCUCCGAGCUAGCCGAUGCCUACUGUAUCCAGUGUUCUGCUGCAUCCGGUGCCACCUCAAAGAACACCUUCUAGCUGGGCAUUGAACGCCUCAGGGACGACGAGGUGCAGCAACUGGGGUGGAAGAAGUUAAACUACAUGAUGAAGAAUUGAGUGAAGGGGUUAAGACGGUUGCGUUGUGCAUGCGCUGCUUGCUUGCCGGUGAGUGUCACCAUUGUGACUAGGUGUUCUUUGUUGCCUAUGCCCUCUGUAGUUUAAGGUGUUUGUUCUUUUAGCAGCCCAUAAAAUACUGCAAUGUAAACGAUUGUCUUCUCUAUGUCUACAGCAUGCACUAGAAGUAUAGAACUAAUGGCAGUGUUUUGUCUAUACAAUAUAUUAGUAUAUCAUAUAUGUUUUUGUUUCUAAGUGUAUUAUAAAUUAGUAUAGACUAUCUAUCAUCCUUUCAUUCAGUCUUUGCAAAGAAGUUUAGUUGCCUUCCGUAUGGUUUUAUCAACAGUUCUUUUGUGCAGUUGACACAAUGGUAUGCUGUUUGUGUAUAGUUUUAUCCACC